GACGAACGCUGGCGGCGUGCUUAACACAUGCAAGUCGAACGCUGAAGCUCAGCUUUUGUUGGGUGGAUGAGUGGCGAACGGGUGAGUAACACGUGAGUAACCUGCCUCCUUCUUUGGGAUAACGCCCGGAAACGGGUGCUAAUACUGGAUAUUCACUGGUCUUCGCAUGGGGGUUGGUGGAAAGGGUUUUUCUGGUGGGGGAUGGGCUCGCGGCCUAUCAGCUUGUUGGUGGGGUGAUGGCCUACCAAGGCUUUGACGGGUAGCCGGCCUGAGAGGGUGACCGGUCACAUUGGGACUGAGAUACGGCCCAGAGUCCUACGGGAGGCAGAAGUGGGGAAUAUUGCACAAUGGGCGCAAGCCUGAUGCAGCGACGGCGCGUGAGGGAUGGAGGCCUUCGGGUUGUGAACCUCUUUCGCUCAUGGUCAAGCCGCAACAAUGGUUGUGGUGAGGGUAGUGGGUAAAGAAGCGCCGGCUAACUACGUG
rnacentral:rRNA from 1 species